UACAGAGGUCUCAAGCGUUGUUCGGAUUCAUUGGGCGUAAAGGGUGCGUAGGUGGCGGGGUAAGUCAGGUGUGAAAUUUCGGAGCUUAACUCCGAAACUGCAUUUGAUACUGCCUUGCUUGAGGACUGGAGAGGAGACUGGAAUUCACGGUGUAGCAGCGAAAUGCGUAGAGAUCGUGAGGAAGACCAGUGGCGAAGGCGGGUCUCUGGACAGUUCCUGACACUGAGGCACGAAGGCCAGGGGAGCAAACGGG
rnacentral:rRNA from 1 species